GGAGGAAUGGCAGAGUGGUUGAUCGCGGCAGCCUUGAAAGCUGUUGUGGACGUAAGUCCACCGUGGGUUCGAAUCCUACUUCCUCCGCCA
rnacentral:tRNA from 1 species